AUUGAACGCUGGCGGCAUAGCUAAAACAUGCAAGUUGAGCGAAGCAGUAGCAAUACUGACUGAGCGGCGUAAGGGUGAGGAAUACAUUUCUAUGUACCCCAAGGUCGAGGAUAGCCAAGAGAAAUCUUGGGUAAUACUCGAUGUGGUCGUAAGAUCAAAGGUUUACCGCCUUGGGAGCGGGGAAUGUCCUAUCAGGUAGUUGGUGGGGUUACGGCUCACCAAGCCAAAGACGGGUAGCAGGUGUGAGAGCACGGCCUGCCACAUCGAAACUGAGACACUGUUCGGACUCCUACGGGAGGCUGCAGUAACGAAUCUUCCGCAAUGCGCGAAAGCGUGACGGGGUAAUGCCGCGUGCAGGAUGAAGCCCUUCGGGGUGUAAACUGCUGUCGGGCUAGGAAUUUCAUGACCAGCCCCAAAGGGAGAGCCGGCUAACUCUGUGCCAGCAGCCGCGGUAAUACAGAGGGCUCGAGCGUUAAUCGGAAUCACUGGGCUUAAAGCGUGCGUAGGCGGAUCUUCAGGCCCGUUGUGAAAUCCCACGGCUCAACCGUGGAAUUGCGAUGGGAACCGGAGAUCUUGAGUCAGGUAGAGGCGGGUGGAACGAUAGGUGGAGCGGUGAAAUGCGUAGAUAUCUAUCGGAACGCCAAAGGAGAAGUCAGCCCGCUGGGCCUGUUCUGACGCUGAGGCACGAAAGCGUGGGUAGCAAACGGGAUUAGAUACCCCGGUAGUCCACGCCGUAAACGAUGCGCACUAGACUGAGGGAGCUUGACGCUUUCUCAGUCGUAGCAAAAGUGCUAAGUGCGCCGCCUGGGGAGUACGGUCGCAAGAUUAAAACUCAAAGGAAUUGACGGGGGCUCACACAAGCGGUGGAGCAUGUGGCUUAAUUCGAAGCAACGCGAAGAACCUUAUCCUAGGCUUGACAUGUACGUAUUAACUCCCCGAAAAGGGAGCAACUCCCGCAAGGGCGGAACGUACACAGGUGCUGCAUGGCUGUCGUCAGCUCGUGCUGUGAAGUGUCGGGUUAAGU
rnacentral:rRNA from 1 species